rnacentral:rRNA from 1 species
GUGUCAGCAGCCGCGGUAAUACGUAGGGGGCAAGCGUUGUCCGGAUUUAUUGGGCGUAAAGAGCUCGUAGGCGGCUUUGUAAGUCGGAUGUGAAAUCUCAUGGCUUAACCGUGAGCGGCCAUUCGAUACUGCAAGGCUAGAGGCCGGUAGGGGGACAUGGAAUUCCUGGUGUAGCGGUGAAAUGCGCAGAUAUCAGGAGGAACACCGGUGGCGAAGGCGGUGUCCUGGGCCGGUCCUGACGCUGAGGAGCGAAAGCUGGGGGAGCAAACAGGAUUAGAUACCCUGGUAGUCC